rfam:Myotis lucifugus cont2.7126, whole genome shotgun sequence.
GGCAGUUCUCGGGUGAUGCACCCGGAAUUGGGCUCCCUCCUCUCUGGUUCUGGGUGCAUCACCCGAGAACUGCA